UACGAAGGGGGCUAGCGUUGCUCGGAAUCACUGGGCGUAAAGCGCACGUAGGCGGACUCUUAAGUCAGGGGUGAAAUCCUGGAGCUCAACUCCAGAACUGCCUUUGAUACUGGGAGUCUUGAGUUCGGGAGAGGUGAGUGGAACUGCGAGUGUAGAGGUGAAAUUCGUAGAUAUUCGCAAGAACACCGGUGGCGAAGGCGGCAUCCUGGACCGGUAUUGACGCUGAUGCGCGAAAGCCAGGGG
rnacentral:rRNA from 1 species